rnacentral:rRNA from 1 species
CCUACGGGAGGCAGCAGUGAGGAAUAUUGGUCAAUGGACGGGAGCCUGAACCAGCCAAGCCGCGUGAGGGAUGAAGGUACAGCGUAUUGUAAACCUCUUUUGUCAGGGGACAAAGUCGGGCACUAGUCCCCUGAUGAGGGUACCUGAAGAAAAAGCAUCGGCUAACUCCGUGCCAGCAGCCGCGGUAAUACGGGGGAUGCGAGCGUUAUCCGGAUUUAUUGGGUUUAAAGGGUGCGGAGGCGGCCCUUUAAGUCAGCGGUAAAAGCCAGGGGCUAAACCCAGGCGAGCCGUUGAAACUGGGGGGCUGGAGUUGGAGAGAAGUACGCGGAAUGCGCGGUGUAGCGGUGAAAUGCUUAGAUAUCGCGAAGAACCCCGAUUGCGAAGGCAGCGUACCGGCUCCACACUGACGCUGAGGCACGAAAGCGUGGGUAUCGAACAGGAUUAGAUACCCUGGUAGUC